rnacentral:rRNA from 1 species
ACGCUAGCUACAGGCUUAACACAUGCAAGUCGAGGGGCAGCAUUUUAGUUUGCUUGCAAACUGAAGAUGGCGACCGGCGCACGGGUGAGUAACACGUAUCCAACCUGCCGAUAACUCCGGGAUAGCCUUUCGAAAGAAAGAUUAAUACCGGAUAGUAUACGAAUAUCGCAUGAUAUUUUUAUUAAAGAAUUUCGGUUAUCGAUGGGGAUGCGUUCCAUUAGUUUGUUGGCGGGGUAACGGCCCACCAAGACUACGAUGGAUAGGGGUUCUGAGAGGAAGGUCCCCCACAUUGGAACUGAGACACGGUCCAAACUCCUACGGGAGGCAGCAGUGAGGAAUAUUGGUCAAUGGGCGCGAGCCUGAACCAGCCAAGUAGCGUGAAGGAUGAAGGCUCUAUGGGUCGUAAACUUCUUUUAUAUGGGAAUAAAGCUUUCCACGUGUGGAAUUUUGUAUGUACCAUAUGAAUAAGGAUCGGCUAACUCCGUGCCAGCAGCCGCGGUAAUACGGAGGAUCCGAGCGUUAUCCGGAUUUAUUGGGUUUAAAGGGAGCGUAGGUGGAUUGUUAAGUCAGUUGUGAAAGUUUGCGGCUCAACCGUAAAAUUGCAGUUGAAACUGGCAGUCUUGAGUACAGUAGAGGUGGGCGGAAUUCGUGGUGUAGCGGUGAAAUGCUUAGAUAUCACGAAGAACUCCGAUUGCGAAGGCAGCUCACUAGACUGUCACUGACACUGAUGCUCGAAAGUGUGGGUAUCAAACAGGAUUAGAUACCCUGGUAGUCCACACAGUAAACGAUGAAUACUCGCUGUUUGCGAUAUACAGUAAGCGGCCAAGCGAAAGCAUUAAGUAUUCCACCUGGGGAGUACGCCGGCAACGGUGAAACUCAAAGGAAUUGACGGGGGCCCGCACAAGCGGAGGAACAUGUGGUUUAAUUCGAUGAUACGCGAGGAACCUUACCCGGGCUUAAAUUGCAACAGAAUAUAUUGGAAACAGUAUAGCCGUAAGGCUGUUGUGAAGGUGCUGCAUGGUUGUCGUCAGCUCGUGCCGUGAGGUGUCGGCUUAAGUGCCAUAACGAGCGCAACCCUUAUCUUUAGUUACUAACAGGUUAUGCUGAGGACUCUAGAGAGACUGCCGUCGUAAGAUGUGAGGAAGGUGGGGAUGACGUCAAAUCAGCACGGCCCUUACGUCCGGGGCUACACACGUGUUACAAUGGGGGGUACAGAAGGCGGCUACCUGGUGACAGGAUGCUAAUCCCAAAAACCUCUCUCAGUUCGGAUCGAAGUCUGCAACCCGACUUCGUGAAGCUGGAUUCGCUAGUAAUCGCGCAUCAGCCAUGGCGCGGUGAAUACGUUCCCGGGCCUUGUACACACCGCCCGUCAAGCCAUGAAAGCCGGGGGUACAAGAAGUACGUAACCGCAAGGAGCGUCCUAGGGUAAAACUGGA